ensembl:processed_transcript A930005H10Rik RIKEN cDNA A930005H10 gene
AAGCCAGGACUCAAACAUCCCCAAAGGGCGUCCGGGCUGAUGACGAUAGCUCCCAAUCGCCCUCCAGACGCACACUGGCAGGAACAACCGGAGGGACUUCCCUGACCGACCCCGCGUUUGCUCAGCUUUGAAUUCCCGCUCUGUAGAUCUGUCGCAAUUUAACCAGAAGUCACCCUGUGCAUGGAGCUGUUUGAGAAAGAUCAGAGGAUGUGCCCUUGUUGGAGGAGAUGUGUCCCUGGGGGAAGGUCUUGAAACUUCAAAUGCCCACUCACUCCAUUCUCAGCACCUCUCUUCCUCAUGUCUAUGAAUCAGGAUGGGAAGUUCUCAGCUACUGCUCUAGCACCAUACCUGCCUGCCAGAUGCCGUGCUCCCUGCCAUGAUGGUCAUGAACUCACCCUUUAAAACUGUAAGCCCUCAAUAAAGUCUUUCUUCU